GGCCUCUCAGACUUGCACCUGGAGAGUUUCCAGUACUCUACCAGUCUUGACUACAGGAGGAAGAUUCAAGCAGAGGCAUACCCAUUCCAUUCCUAGCUUGGGCAGUGGCUAGUGAGUGGAAGGCAACCUACUUCAAGU